GCCUAUGGCACACCGCCCUGAGAGCACCCGGUCUUGUCUGAUCUCGGAAGUUAAGCAGAGUUGGGCCCUGCUGCUGCUGGGGGCA
ensembl:rRNA 5S_rRNA 5S ribosomal RNA